AUUGAACGCUGGCGGCAUGCUUUACACAUGCAAGUCGAACGGUAACAGGCCGCAAGGUGCUGACGAGUGGCGAACGGGUGAGUAAUGCAUCGGAACGUGCCCAGUCGUGGGGGAUAACGCAGCGAAAGCUGCGCUAAUACCGCAUACGAUCUCUGGAUGAAAGCGGGGGACCGAAAGGCCUCGCGCGAUUGGAGCGGCCGAUGUCAGAUUAGGUAGUUGGUGGGGUAAAGGCUCACCAAGCCAACGAUCUGUAGCUGGUAUGAGAGGACGACCAGCCAAACUGGGACUGAGACACGGCCCAGACUCCUACGGGAGGCAGCAGUGGGGGAUUUUGGACAAUGGGCGCAAGCCUGAUCCAGAAAUGCCGCGUGCAGGAAGAAGGCCUUCGGGUUGUAAACUGCUUUUGUACGGAACGAAACGGUCCUGGUUAAUACCUGGGGCUAAUGACGGUACCGUAAGAAUAAGCACCGGCUAACUACGUGCCAGCCGCCGCGGUAACAC
rnacentral:rRNA from 1 species